GACGAACGCNGGCGGCGUGCCUAAUACAUGCAAGUAGAACGCACAGGAUGCACCGUAGUUUACUACACCGUAUUCUGUGAGUUGCGAACGGGUGAGUAACGCGUAGGUAACCUGCCUGGUAGCGGGGGAUAACUAUUGGAAACGAUAGCUAAUACCGCAUAAGAACAUUUACUGCAUGGUAGAUGUUUAAAAGGUGCAAAUGCAUCACUACCAGAUGGACCUGCGUUGUAUUAGCUAGUAGGUGAGGUAACGGCUCACCUAGGCGACGAUACAUAGCCGACCUGAGAGGGUGAUCGGCCACACUGGGACUGAGACACGGCCCAGACUCCUACGGGAGGCAGCAGUAGGGAAUCUUCGGCAAUGGGGGGAACCCUGACCGAGCAACGCCGCGUGAGUGAAGAAGGUUUUCGGAUCGUAAAGCUCUGUUGUUAAGGAAGAACGAGUGUGAGAANGGAAAGUUCAUACUGCGAC
rnacentral:rRNA from 1 species